rnacentral:rRNA from 1 species
GACGAACGCUGGCGGCGUGCUUAACACAUGCAAGUCGAGCGGUAAGGCCCUUUCGGGGGUACACGAGCGGCGAACGGGUGAGUAACACGUGGGUGACCUGCCCUCAGCUCUGGGAUAAGCCUGGGAAACCGGGUCUAAUACCGGAUAUGACUCCAUGACGCAUGUUGUGGGGUGAAAGCCUUGUGCGGCUGAGGAUGGGCCCGCGGCCUAUCAGCUUGUUGGUGGGGUGAUGGCCUACCAAGGCGACGACGGGUAGCCGGCCUGAGAGGGCGACCGGCCACACUGGGACUGAGACACGG